UAUACCAACUAUUCGCCAGAAUACUACAAGCAAAACGCUUGAAACUCAAAGGACUUGGUGGUGUCCCAUAUCAUCCUAGAGGAGCCUGUCCUAUAAUCGAUAUUCCACGCUAAACCUUACCAUCUUUGGCCACUCCAGCCUAUAUACCGCCGUCGCCAGCCUACCCCAUGAGGGCCUUAUAGUAGGCAAAACUGUUCCACACAAAAACGUCAGGUCAAGGUGUAGCUUAUAAGAUGGAAGAGAUGGGCUACAUUUUCUAAGCUAGAAAACACGAAUAAUGUAAUGAAACCACACAUUAGAAGGAGGAUUUAGUAGUAAAAUUAAAAGAAAAAUCAUUUUAAACACGCUCUGGGACGCGCACACACCGCCCGUCACCCUCAUCAACUCAACUACACCAAUCAACAUAUAACCAACCUGACUACAAGAUGAGGUAAGUCGUAACAUGGUAAGCGUACUGGAAAGUGCGCUUGGACUAACAAAAAGUAGCUUAAAACCAAAGCAUUCAGCUUACAAUUGAAAAAUGUUAAACCAACCUUUUUGAGCCUAUCUACAAGCCCUGCCACACCUACUACCAACGAACCGAACAAAACAAACCAUUUGACAUGACUAGUAUCUGAGAAAGAAC
rnacentral:rRNA from 1 species